rnacentral:lncRNA from 1 species
AGAUGCUUAACAGUGAAGCUGGAGAAAGGAGAGGAGUGUGUUUCUACUUUCGAGAGAGCGCGAGUGAGAGUGAGAGAGAGAAGAGAGAUACGCAAACCAUGUGUAAAGACAGAUGAAGGGAGAGCAUGGGAUGGGAUGAGGAUAUUCGGUGGCAUUUUCAAACCGCACGUAUCGCUUGGGCCGAGCCGCUCGCGGAGAGGGCUUCCGCGUCGCGUGGCCAGAGGGCCUCUCCAACCAUCUCAU